CCUACGGGAGGCAGCAGUGGGGAAUUUUGCGCAAUGGGGGCAACCCUGACGCAGCAACGCCGCGUGAGUGAUGAAGGCCUUCGGGUCGUAAAGCUCUGUCAGAGGGGAAGAAAUGCAGGUGGUGAACAACCAUUCUGUUUGACGGUACCCUCAAAGGAAGCACCGGCUAACUCCGUGCCAGCAGCCGCGGUAAUACGGAGGGUGCGAGCGUUGUUCGGAAUUAUUGGGCGUAAAGCGCGUGUAGGCGGUUUGUUAAGUCUGAUGUAAAAGCCCCGGGCCCAACCUGGGAAGUGCAUUGGAUACUGGCAGACUUGAGAACGGGAGAGGAGAGUGGAAUUCCCAGUGUAGGAGUGAAAUCCGUAGAUAUUGGGAGGAACACCGGUGGCGAGGGCGGUUCUCGGGACUGCCCCUGACGCUGAAGAGCGAAAGCUAGGGUAGCGAACGGGAUUAGAUCCCCCUGUAGU
rnacentral:rRNA from 1 species